rnacentral:tRNA from 2 species
UAGCUCAGUAGGUAGAGCAACUGACUUGUAAUCAGUAGGUCACCAGUUCGAUUC